rnacentral:rRNA from 1 species
UACGUAGGUGGCAAGCGUUGUCCGGAAUUAUUGGGCGUAAAGCGCGCGCAGGUGGUUUUCUUAAGUCUGAUGUGAAAAGCCCACGGCUCAACCGUGGAGGGUCAUUGGAAACUGGGGAACUUGAGUGCAGGAGAGAAGAGUGGAAUUCCACGUGUAGCGGUGAAAUGCGUAGAGAUGUGGAGGAACACCAGUGGCGAAGGCGACUUCUGGCCUAUAACUGACGCUGAGGCGCGAAAGCGUGGGGAGCAAACAGG